GAUGAACGCUGGCGGCGUGCCUAAUACAUGCAAGUCGAGCGAACAGACGAGGAGCUUGCUCCUCUGACGUUAGCGGCGGACGGGUGAGUAACACGUGGAUAACCUACCUAUAAGACUGGGAUAACUUUGGGAAACCGGAGCUAAUACCGGAUAAUAUAUUGAACCGCAUGGUUCAAUAGUGAAAGACGGUUUUGCUGUCACUUAUAGAUGGAUCCGCGCCGCAUUAGCUAGUUGGUAAGGUAACGGCUUACCAAGGCGACGAUGCGUAGCCGACCUGAGAGGGGGAUCGGCCACACGGGAACUGAGACACGGUCCAGACUCCUACGGGAGGCAGCAGUAGGGAAUCUUCCGCAAUGGGGGAAAGCUCGACGGAGCAACGCCGCGGGAGUGAAUAAGGUCUUCGGAUCGUAAAACUCUGUUAUUAGGGAAGAAAAAAUGUGGAAGUAACUAUGCACGGCUUGACGGUACCUAAUCAGAAAGCCACGGCUAACUACGUG
rnacentral:rRNA from 1 species